rnacentral:rRNA from 1 species
AGAGUUUGAUCCUGGCUCAGGAUGAACGCUGGCGGCGUGCCUAAUACAUGCAAGUCGAACGCUUCACUUCGGUGAAGAGUGGCGAACGGGUGAGUAAUACAUAAGUAACCUGGCAUCUACAGGGGGAUAACUGAUGGAAACGUCAGCUAAGACCGCAUAGGUGUAGAGAUCGCAUGAACUCUAUAUGAAAAGUGCUACGGGACUGGUAGAUGAUGGACUUAUGGCGCAUUAGCUUGUUGGUAGGGUAACGGCCUACCAAGGCGACGAUGCGUAGCCGACCUGAGAGGGUGACCGGCCACACUGGACUGAGACACGGCCCAGACUCCUACGGGAGGCAGCAGUAGGGAAUUUUCGGCAAUGGGGGAAACCCUGACCGAGCAACGCCGCGUGAAGGAAGAAGUAAUUCGUUAUGUAAACUUCUGUCAUAGAGGAAGAACGGUGGAUAUAGGGAAUGAUAUCCAAGUGACGGUACUCUAUAAGAAAGCCACGGCUAACUACGUGCCAGCAGCCGCGGUAAUACGUAGGUGGCGAGCGUUAUCCGGAAUUAUUGGGCGUAAAGAGGGAGCAGGCGGCACUAAGGGUCUGUGGUGAAAGAUCGAAGCUUAACUUCGGUAAGCCAUGGAAACCGUAGAGCUAGAGUGUGUGAGAGGAUCGUGGAAUUCCAUGUGUAGCGGUGAAAUGCGUAGAUAUAUGGAGGAACACCAGUGGCGAAGGCGACGAUCUGGCGCAUAACUGACGCUCAGUCCCGAAAGCGUGGGGAGCAAAUAGGAUCAGAUACCCUAGUAGUCCACGCCGUAAACGAUGAGUACUAAGUGUUGGGGGUCAAACCUCAGUGCUGCAGUUAACGCAAUAAGUACUCCGCCUGAGUAGUACGUUCGCAAGAAUGAAACUCAAAGGAAUUGACGGGGGCCCGCACAAGCGGUGGAGCAUGUGGUUUAAUUCGAAGCAACGCGAAGAACCUUACCAGGUCUUGACAUCGAUCUAAAGGCUCCAGAGAUGGAGAGAUAGCUAUAGAGAAGACAGGUGGUGCAUGGUUGUCGUCAGCUCGUGUCGUGAGAUGUUGGGUUAAGUCCCGCAACGAGCGCAACCCCUGUUGCCAGUUGCCAGCAUUAAGUUGGGGACUCUGGCGAGACUGCCGGUGACAAGCCGGAGGAAGGCGGGGAUGACGUCAAAUCAUCAUGCCCCUUAUGACCUGGGCUACACACGUGCUACAAUGGACAGAGCAGAGGGAAGCGAAGCCGCGAGGUGGAGCGAAACCCAUAAAACUGUUCUCAGUUCGGACUGCAGUCUGCAACUCGACUGCACGAAGAUGGAAUCGCUAGUAAUCGCGAAUCAGCAUGUCGCGGUGAAUACGUUCUCGGGCCUUGUACACACCGCCCGUCACACCAUGAGAGUCGGUAACACCCGAAGCCGGUGGCCUAACCGCAAGGAAGGAGCUGUCUAAGGUGGGACUGAUGAUUGGGGUGAAGUCGAACAAGGUA